rnacentral:rRNA from 1 species
CACGUAGGCACCAAGCGUUGUCCGGAUUUAUUGGGCGUAAAGAGCUCGUAGGCGGUUGAGUAAGUCGGGUGUGAAAACUCUGGGCUUAACCCAGAGCCGCCACCCGAUACUGCUCUGACUUGAGUUCGGUAGGGGAGCAGGGAAUUCCUAGUGUAGCGGUGAAAUGCGCAGAUAUUCGCAAGAACACCAGUGGCGAAGGCGGCUCACUGGCCCGAUACUGACGCUGAGGCACGAAAGCGUGGGGAGCAAACAGG